GCUUUGCAUCAGAAAGCCUUGCGCCCCGGGCAGCCUCCGCCCUCAGCCCCAGCUUGGGGCUGGACCCCAGCCUCCAGCCUCACCUCCUGCCGGCCUCUCUGCUUGCCCUCCCCGCCCCAGAGGGGGGGUGGGAGGCCUUGAGAUUGUCCCCGGUACCCCAAGGACGCCGAGGUUACGGGAAGUUUGGGGACUCGGGCCCCAGUAUCCUGAGUUCUUCCAGGAGAAGGAAGAUGGCGAAGACAGUGAGGGAAGAGAGCAGACGUCUGACUCCGGGGUGCUUAUCUGUGUGGAAGAGACCGGUUCUUCCUGACUGGCUUCAUGUCCCUCAAGAUCCCAAAGAAGGCUAUGGCUAUUUCAAAGCCAGAGAAUAGGGGCAGAGACUCAGCAGCCUGCUCCUGGGUGCAAAGAGACAAGGCCAGGUGCAGCCUGUGCUCACAGUCUUGGAAGCUUGGUGGUGGUGGAGGUGUUCUCCUGGCUCUUCAAGUAUUUACCCGUCUGUGUGUGACUCAUAUCCAGGAACCCAGGCAGCUUCCCUCAAUAGAUUGCUGGCUUCAGAAGAUGAGCCUCCCCUGCCGCUCCACAAGGCUCAAGUGCUUCAAUGAAAUAAAAGAGAACUGAAAUAAAAGAGAAAUAAAAGAGUCUGGCAA
rnacentral:lncRNA from 1 species